CCCUUAGAUGUUCUGGGCAGCACGCGCGCUACAAUGGUCUUCGCAAACGGAUGCAUUCUCGAAGGAGAAUGCCAAUCUUGGAAUCUAUGCCUUGGUCGGGACAGUUGCUUGCAAUUUUUCGACUCGAACCAGGAAUUCCUUGUAAACGUGAUUCAUCACAUCACGAUGAAUACGUCCCUGCCCUUUGUACACACCGCCCGUCGCUCCUACCGAUCGAAGAGUUAGGUGAAUUGUUUUGAUCGAUAAGAUUUGACUAUGGUCAACUCUCGUUGUGAAAUUCUGUGAAUCUGACUGUUUAGAGGAAGGAAAAGUCGUAACA
rnacentral:rRNA from 1 species